CACCAAGGGGACUUCCGGCCAGGAGACAGACAUCUGGAGUGGACCUUACUCACCUGAGCAGCUGCUGGGGCUUUGGACCACUAAUAAUCAACAAUGGAUAAAUUCUUAAUAAAGUUACCCAGAGAAAAAGAAGAAAAGGGUAAUUCAUCAAGUGAUGGCCUGAGUUCGACACCCAGCUUUCAAACUGAAGUUAUACAAAAGAAAGAUGCGGCAAAUC